AAAUGUAACGAUGAUCCUAACGUUGGAACCAAAAUUUGCAAAAGUAGCCCUCCUUCCGUCCCAUCUCCAACUCCAACCAAUACAUGUCGUCCGUCUGGCACAAUCAAUUGCAACGGUGUACACCCAAUAUACCGUUGCUCGCCACCUGUCACCUCCUCAACUCCCGCUCAACUUACCUUCAACGACUUCGGUGAAGGCGGAGACGGGGGUGGUCCAUCAUCAUGUGAUGGAAAAUAUCAUAACAAUAACGAAAGAAUAGUAGCAUUGUCCACCGGAUGGUUUGCAGGACGUUCGAGGUGUGGUAAAAUGAUACUAAUUCGCGCUAAUAACGGAAAGACCGUAACGGCUAAAGUGGUGGAUGAAUGUGAUUCUACUAUGGGUUGUGAUGCGGAACAUGCUUUUCAAAGUCCAUGCAAAAAUAACAUAGUGGAUGGUUCUAUUGCUGUGUGGAGAGCUUUAGGGUUAAAUACAGAUUUAGGUAUUGUUCCUGUCACUUGGUCCAUGGUUUAGGCCAACAUGGAGCGAUCGUUACAGUUAUGGAUUUGAUAGAAUUCAGUAACUUUAUAUGUCUCAAAUUAUAUGUAAUAAGAUGUACAUUAGAGUUUCUUAAAAAUAAUCAACUACGAUAUAAUUUCAACUAAUUAUAUUUUUCUUUCAUCUCAAUUUAUGUUGUGAAGCUUGACUUCUUCGUUUUUUAAUAUCAUGGCAUCACCCCCUUUGAAUUUGCGAAACUACUUCCUCCGAUUGAUAACCUAAGGAAGUCAACAUAUCCGCAACAUGAUUUGUUCCCGUUAAAUAGUUCUUGAUGAAAAGACUCUUGUCUUCGACCAUCUAUUUAAUCUCUUUACUUUAUUUCAAUUUGUUUGACUAGUCGCUGAGUUUAUAAAAGAAAUAAAUUCACUUGAAAUUUGUGGACUUAAACAAAGCAUAGAUAUUUUUGUGGUUAUAGAUAAUCUUAUUAAGAAUAAAGUGAAAAGUUUAAAAUUAUAUUAGUAUUAAAUAUGAAAAUGAUCAAACAUUUGGAGGGGGGGAGGGAGGGGGGACAAAUUUAUAAAAAGGAAAAUAUAAUGUCAUUUAAAUUAGAAGGGUGAUAUAGGGGAUUGAAUGAAUUAUGUUAAUCACAUAAUUGUAAUUCUUUUUUGUACUAAUUAAUUAUGAGUAUAGGUGAUAUAGGAGCUUUGAAUCCUUUCAAAUAUCUUCCUCAGAUUAUUAUGUACUUUUGAGUUAAGAUAAAUAAAACGCAGAAAGAUUGCUUGAAAAAAAAAGGUUAGGUGAUAUAGCUCUGAUUUUAACAUUCCGCUGCUUUAAUUUUAUUUUUAUUCUAAUAAAAUCAGAAAAAAUAUUUAUUUUUCUUUUUUAUUAUAAAUUUCAAAAGUCUUUAUGUCUAGCACCAAUUAUAGAAAGUCUGAAAAUUGCAAAAAUGCAAAAAAGGAGGACGGAGUGCAAGGUCAUAUUGUACUAUCAAAAAAUGGUAUAAUAUUGAAAUGUGUUCUUUAACUUGAUAUUAACUGAUAUUUAUGCAUUUUAAUUUUGAAUGUGCAAGGUACAUAAAUUUAUAUAGAAUUGAACAAUUAGACACAUAUGUCUAACGUGACGCCUUACGUGUAUUAUACCAUAUAAGACACAUGUAUUACGCCACGCAAAAAAUAUUUGCAGUAUACACUUAUUUUCUAGUUGUAAUACAAUGAAUAUGCACCAGUAACUAUUUCAAAUUGAUACAUCCGAAGUACUAUAUAGCUGGAUAUUUUUGACAGAUUGAAACUCAUAAGAAAAACACGAUAAAUGAUUUGAGACGAAGAGAUCAGUAUUUUCUCCUAAAUAAGACUCCCAUACCCUUUCUCUAAGAAUAAAGAUUAACCAGAUAUAAAAUAUUUAUAUUUAUCUUAUUGUUAAAGUAAACCCAAUUAUAAUAAGUAUGUUGUCGUUUUUUCCAAAACAAUAAAACACCCAAUUAUGAUUUAGAAAUUAGGACAAACACCCAAUAAUAUGUGAGUUUCUUAACAAAUCAAUUAUAUUCAAAUCAAACUAUGAAAAUUGACAAUUAAAUUUGCAAGACAUGGAUUGGUUUAAAACGUGGACGACGGUUGUGUAUCGGUCGGUUCGGUUCGAUUUAUCGAUUCAGUUUUUCGAUUUUCAGAUUUUAAAUAUGCUAAAUCGAUAACCAAAUCAAUAAGAUAUUUGUUAUAGGUUUUCGAUUUAUCGAUUUUGAUCUUUAACGGUUCGGUUUUCGGUUUAACCAAUAAGAAAAUGCUUCCAAAAUAAAUAUAUGACUUGUCCAACAAUUUAACGCGAAAUAAAAAGAGAAAAAUCUAAUUACUCAUUGAGUGCAAAAAUUCUUCUUAGUGUAGUAAAAGUAUAGCAAAUACUCAUAAUUCACAACCCUAGUCAUUGCCUAACCCUUGCCACCGUCGUUGCAAACCCUAGACAGCGUCGUUCUUAGUUCUUUAGGUUUUUGACGUUGUGAACCUAAAGACUAAAGUAAUACUAAAACCUAAAGGGUAAAUGCAGAGAGCAAGUUAAUUAAGUAAUGUUAAUUGUGUAGGGUCCUUAAAGUUAUAUUAUAAUAUAGUGAUUAUACUAAUAUUGUUUGUUUGAUAUUUAUGUAUGACUAAAAAUUAAAAUAGUAAAUUAUUAUAUUCUUAAUGGGUUAUCGGUUAACUCAAUAACCCAAUAUAAAAACCAAUAUCAAACCGAUAACCCAAUAAUUUUAUUUUAUAAAACCAUUAAAUAACUAUUAACCCAAUAACCAAUAACACUUUUUUCGGUUCGAUUUAUCGGUCGAUUCGGUUUUGCACACGGACGACGGUCAUGUUGUAUUUUUUUAUAAGAGAAAAGAUCUAGAAAUAUAUAUAUAUAUAUAUAUAUAUAUAUAUAUAUAUAUAUAUAUUGAGUCAAAAAUGAAUAUAUUAAUUAAAUAGCAGCCAUGACCUAGGAACUAAAGAGUACUAGGAAUAGCAUACAUAUCUCUCUAUGGUCAAAAAAUUUCCCUCUCUUACUUCUUUUUUUCAAGGUUUAGGGUGGGGGGGAGAGAAAAAUAUUGUUAGUGAAGUAAUUAAUCGAUUGUACAAAAUUUAUUAGUAUUGGACUAAAUUAGAAUUCACGUGUUAUAGAGUUUAUUUUCUGAAAAUAACGCUUCUAACAAAAAAAAUCAUUUCCAAAAAAAUGGUUUCGACCCUUCUAAUUAAAGGUAAUUUCAAACCAUCCUACCGUAAUUCAGAUUGAUUAAUUAAUCAAUCCAAUUGCUAAUCCAUCUAUUAGUCCUAAUAAUAUCAGAAGCCGUGCAACCAUGCAAGUCCUUGCAUUAAAUAGCCAAAGAAAGUCUAAUUUUGCUUAUACAAAAUUUGGAAAGAUUUUUAUACGUAGAUAUAAUCGUGGUAUUCGUGUCGGCUUGUGUGCACCUCGACUAAAUUCUACGGAAUAUAUGUCACUUUCCACGAGUAACACAUACCAGAUAACUUUUUCCACCAAAGUUAAAACAAAUAUAAAGAAAUUGCUUAGCGUUUUGCCUAUAUUAAAAUUUAAACCUGAGAUAUCAUGAUGCUCGAUUAACCCACUUCAUUAAAGAAUUUUCUUUUUACAAAAGUAAAAGAACAAGUCAUACUAUUAUUCAUUGUUUAACUUAUCCCAAUUCAGUUCAUUUCUCCCUAUAUAUAUUCAUCCAUUUAGACACUUUUCUUCACCCAUCAACACUUUCUUACACAUAUAACCUUUUCAAUCAUUACAAAAAUAGCCACAAUGUCCAAUCUAGCCUUUCUUUCACUAAUUUUCACCAUUUUCAUCUACACUUCUAACGCCAUUUCUCAAUGUAACGGCCCUUGUAAAACUUGGGACUAUUGCGAUGGUCAAUUAAUUUGCAUAAACGAAAAAUAUAACGAUGAUCCCAACGUUGGAACCAAAAUUUGCAAAAGUAGCCCUCCUUCUGUCCCUUCUCCAACUCCAACCAAUACAUGUCGUCCGUCUGGCACUGUCAAUUGCAACGGUGUACACCCAAUAUACCGUUGCUCGCCACCUGUCACCUCAUCAAUGCCCGCUCAACUUACCUUCAACGACUUCAGUAGAGGUGGAGACUGUCACGCCCCGAGCCUACACCCUGGACAUGGCUGACACUAGAAGACCAUUGUUGGCCCCAAGCGAACCCUUGGCCUGGCUUACCUACCUCAGACGAAGACAAUAUUCAUACUUAUAAUGAUCAAUAACACUUAACUAAACUGAAUAAUAAAAUAACUGAGAAUGUUUAAAGGUUAAACAUUCAACUUGGCCAAAAGUGGCAACCCAAGUCUUAACAAUAAGAAAUGAUAAUGAAAAGACUCAAAGGACUAACAUCUGAUUGUCUAUGAAGCCUCUAAAACAACUGAGAUGGAUGUUGGGACAACCCCACAACAUCCUAAUGAACUAACUAGAAAGCAAUGAAAAUAGAUCCUCCGGAAUGCAAGGAAGCUCACCGACUGACUCUGAACUGCUCACUGGAUCAACGGUGCGCUGGAAUGCCGAUCCUAGUUAAUUACAUGUAUCUGCAUCAUAAGUCUAGUUGGAAUGCUAAAACAACAUAGGCUUGAAAGGGAACCUGCUGAAAGAAACACUUACCUUGGCUCUUCUCAACUCAUGAAUACCUAACUGAUCUCAUUUCAAUAUAAACCAGUUUAAAACAAGUGCAAUAUAAAGAAAAGUUGUUUAAAAACAUGAUGUCAACUCUGUGUAUAUACAAGGAUACAACAUAACUCUGAAAUGUAUGUAAAAAUACAAUAAACUGAUGUAUAUAAAAAUACAAUAAAAUUGAUGUAUGUGGGAGUUUCUCUAACCGACAACCAUCACAUAAGAGCUAUAGUGAUGAUACAGCGAUCUACCUCACGCUGCCAGCGCAUCCUAUACCCGGCCAAAGGUACUAGGACCUAAACUACUAAGUGGAUCCACUAGUCUAUUGUGAAAAGGGUUCAUCUAAAAAGUAUGACCCUUUUCUACCCAUGGUGGCUACAUGGUUUUAUGGAGACGUGAGUUAUCUGAACUCAUGCUCACCCCCAAUUCAGUGCUCAAUACUACUCCCAAAAUAUACUAGCUCUUAUGUUUUUUUUUUAAAAAACAUACUUCUUCUGUGAUUUGAGAUUAGUGCUCAGAAACUUAGCUCAAAGGCUAUCUUGGAAAUCAAGUUUCCCCUCUUGCUUCAUUUAGAAAGCGAUUACUCUUUUCUGAAAACUAGCCCGAAGGCUCUUUGGAAAUCUCAGUUUCCGUUCUUAUUUAAAUGUGAAAACAUUUUAAAUCUCUUUAAGAAUACUUAGUCCCCAUAUACUUUUGAAGUAAUGAACUUCAAACUUUUACUCUUUACUAAACUUGAUCUUUAAGUCUUAAAACAAAGUUAAAAGCAUUUGCAAAAGACUUCUUGAAAAGACUCGAAGAACUUCCUAGACUUUGGCUCUUGACUUUCCUUGAAUUUGAAUUUAUGGAUUCAAGGUUAUGAUUAAUGUUUAUGGAUGAUUUCUAGGUGUUUAGAAGUCAUUUAGAGUAGUUAGAAUCAAUGGAAGAUGUUAGGACACUUUAGAAUAACAUAAAUAGGCCAAACGAUGAAAAACAGGUGAAAACGCCGAUCCAGGCGCGUCCCUGGAGCACCGCGACAGGCCCCAAUUUACUGGGGCUCAUUUUGGGCGCACUACGGGCGCACUGCCCCAGCCUCCUGGAGCUAUGGGGGCGCGACACACCUGGCCCUCCCCAGGUGCGUCUGACGAGUUUUUCAACUCGUUUUCUGAUCCUAAAUCAUUUUAAAUCGAUUUCUUUUCUCAAUAGUUUCUUUGAUCCAGAUACCCAACACAUGUACACUAGAAUCUAACUCGAAACAACUCUUAACAUCGCUAAAACGUCUCAAGGAAACCCAUCAAUCACAUGUAAGUUCAAGAAAGAAAACAAUUCAAGAACACAACUCAAGAACAUCAAAUUCUAACUCUUUUAGGAAGAAAAUCACUGAAUUAAACAUGCUUGGUGCAUGGGUGAACUAACCCAACGCUAUGUGAUCUCGCAUACCUUGUAGGGAUCACCCCCGACAAAAUCCACAAGCUAAUCUUGAACGAAUCUUGAACGUUCUUGCUUCCCCUUCUCCUUUCUCUUUUCUCCAAGCCCUAGCGUGAAAUUCACUUUUCUAAAAUGGACUAAAAUCUGAUUUGACCCAUAUUAAACUCCUAAAAACAGAUUAAAAUAAUAGUGCAAGAAAAAGACUAAAAUACCCCUUAAAAAUCCGGAUUGGACAUUUCCUUAUUUGAACAGCCCAACUUCCGAAGGGGAUAACUUGCUCAUACGAACUCGAAAUCACUCAAACUUGGCGGCGUUGGAAAGAUCAUUCCAAGGGAUUUCCAACCAUAUCUGGAAUCACACCUAACUCAUCCUGAGCUAGGAAUUAUGGCUGUUUGAAGUUGACCAAAAACUCACUUUAACACCUUUACCAAAUUUCCAAAUUUUUAAAUUCUUCCCAAAAAUAACUAUUUCCAGAUUUUAAACUUCAUUCUAGUUCUUUCUAGUUGCGAGAUGUUACAGAGACGGGGGUGGUCCAUCAUCAUGUGAUGGGAAAUAUCAUAACAAUAAUGAAAGAAUAGUAGCAUUGUCCACUAGAUGGUUCGGCGGACGUUCGAGGUGUGGUAAAAUGAUAUUAAUUCGUGCUAAUAAUGGAAAGACCGUAACGGCUAAAGUGGUGGAUGAAUGUGAUUCUACUAUGGGUUGUGAUGCGGAACAUGCUUUUCAAAGUCCAUGCAAAAAUAACAUAGUGGAUGGUUCUAUUACUGUGUGGAGAGCUUUAGGGUUGGAUACAGAUUUGGGUAUUGUCCCUGUCACUUGGUCCAUGGUUUAGGUCAACAUGGAGCGAUCGUUACAAUUAUGGAUUCGAUAGAAUUCAGUAACUUUAUAUAGCUCAAAUUAUAUACUUAUUGAACAAGCGUGUCAUCUUACAUGUAAUAAGAUGUGCAUUAGCGUUCUUUAAAAAUAAUCAACUACGGUAUAAUUUCAUACUAAUAAUAUUCUUCUUUCAUCUCAAUUUAUGUUGUGAUGUUUGACCUUCUUUUUUUUUAAUAUCAUGGCAUCACCCCUUUGAAUUUGCGAAACUACUUCCUCUGGUUGAAUACAAAUUAUGAAUUUGAUAAAAUUCAGUAACUUUAUAGCAUAAUUGAAUAGGCAUAUCAUCUUACAUGUAAUAAGAUGUACAUUGGAGUCACUUAAAAAUAAUAAAUUACGAUAUAAUUCCUAACUAAUAGUAAUGUUUAUGUGGUGAUCAUGUUUGACUUUUUUUUUAAUAUCAUGUCACGAUUUUAUUACCCCUUGGAAUUUGCAAAAUUACUUCCUCUAAUUUUUAGCAUAAGGAAGUCAUCAUAAAAUAAGAAGUUUAUAAUUAAAUUAGUAUUUUUUUUUUAAAUAUAGAAAUGUGAUAUUUUAAGGGGACAAUUUUAUAAAAAUAAAAAUAUAAUAUAAUAAGUCAUAUAAAUUAGAAGGGUAGAGUACUAAUUAAUUAUGAGUAUAAUAUAUUGGGGUUGCAAGAAUUAUGUUAAUCACUUAAUUGUUAUUCUGUUUUAAAUCGUUAUCAAAAUGGGUAAGUGCUUCCUAUGGGAAAUAUUUGUAACUUAAUUAUCCAUCAUAAAAUCAUCGAUAAAUACGUGAUAAAUAUAUAUAUCCAUCAUAUUCUAUCAUUAAUCUUUCUAUUGUGAUUGUUUCGACCAUUAAAAUGGUUGAUAUUUUAAGAUGGUGAAAUUAAUCCUCCUUACUUAUUCCUGGAUUCUUAUUUUAUCCCUUUGUUUAUUCACUUAUUUAUGUAAUAGACUUGUUUUUUUUAUCUUUUUAUAGUUUGGUGGAAAAUAUUUAGAAAUAUAUUUAUCCAUUAUUGAGUCAAAAAUGAAUAUAUUAAUUAAUUAGUAGCCACUGCCUAGGAAAAGAGUACUACUCUCUAUGGUCUACUUUUAUCCCUUAUUACUAGGGGUGUGCACAAUUCGGAUUAAACCGAAUAACCAAAACAAAUUAAAUCGAAUUUUUAUUUGGAUUGGUUUUUGGUUUUUCGAAUUGAUUUUGGAUUAAUAAAUUACUUUGUUUGGUUUUUUGGUUUGGUUUUGGAUUUUAAAAAAUAAAAAUCGAAAAAUCGAAAAAAAAACGAAUUAUAUGUAUGUGUGUGUGUAUAUAUAUAUAUAUAUAAAUGUUUAUGUUUAGAAUUAAGUUGGAGUUAACCACUUUUGUCCCUUUUUGGUUAUUGCAUUUCAUCAUGAUUACGUUUAUAUUUUAUAUUUGAACAUCUAUAAUAGGUAUAAUUAUAAGUAUUGUGUUUUAAGUUUUACUUAUGAUUUAUAUUAUAAAGUAUAUUUAAUUAAGAGAAUCAAUAUUAUUACUUUGGUUAUGUUAUUAAUUAUUGACAUAACCGAAUAACCACACCGAAAAAAAGCCGAACCGAAUAAAGGAAAACCAAACCAAACCAAAUUUAUUUUGGAUCGGAUUGGAUUACACUUUUACAAAUCAAAAACCAAAAAAUCCAAACUGAAUAGUGAAAAACCGAAUGCACACCCCUACUUAUUACUCUCCUUUUACUUCUUGAUUUCCCUAAUGUUAAUUAUUUGAAAAAUUAAUUAAAUAAUACAAAAUAUUUCCAUCUAGUUCUUUCUUUUUCUGAUUAAAUAGUAUAACAUGACAUGCAACUGUUUUUAAAAAAUUUGUUCAAGGUUUGGGAAGAAGAAAAAAAAAAGGAAGAAAAAUAUUAUUUGUGAAUUAGUUAAUCGAUUAUACAAAAGCUAUUAGUACUAAGGACUUCCUCACUAUAUUUAGGGAAAUAUAUAUAUAUAUAUAUAUAUAUACCCUUAAAUGCUUCAUUACUUUCAUACCCUCUUUUUAUUUGAAAAUGACAUAUAAUUCACGCGCCAACGUCAAAUUGAUGUUUGUGCCUACCCUUUUUUUCUCUCUGAUACCAUCUUAGUAUAUUACAGUAUAUGAAUAUACUUUGAUCGUAUCAAAGAGUAACUGAGCAGUGUCUUCAUUGAAGGAUUGUUUCUUCCUCCUGGAUACUAUCAAAAUAUAAUAUACUUUGAUGGUAUUAAUGAAUAACUGGACAGUGUUUUCAUUGAGGUUUGCUUCAAUCCUUCGAUGAGAUUACUCAAUCAUCCAUGAUACAAUUACGGUAUAUCUACAUAUUGUCGUGGUACUAUUGAGGUAUGUUUCAAUUCUUCAAUAUUAUAAUUUAAAACAGUUUUUAAAAAAGACAUAACGUAGAUACAAUUUUUUAAAAAUUUGUAAAAAGAGAAAAAAAAACUUAUAUUUUUCUACUAAUUUAGAGUUUAAUAAAUAAGAUUGUAACUUUAAUAAUUUUCUUUUAAUUGUUUCUUCUUUAUUUCUUAAAAAAGAGUUCAAUCCUAUAUGAUACCAAUAACUAUAAGGUAUCAAUAUAUAGACGGAGCAUCACAGAGGAUUAAACUCAAUUUAUAUGAUAUCAUUAUGGUAUCAAUAUACCAACGGAGUAUCACAAAGAAUAUAUUUUCUACUAAUUUAGAGUUUAAUAAAUAAGAUUGUGACUUUAAUAAUUUUCUCUUAAUUGUUUCUUAUUUAUUUCUUAAAAAAAAGAGCACAAUCCUAUACGAUACUGAUAGGGUUCAAUAUAUCGACAUAGUAUCACAAAGGAUUAACUCAGUCAUAUAUGAUACGGAUAUGGUAUUCAAUAUACCGACAGAGUAUCACAAAAGAUUCAUUCAUAGUAGUGAUGUUGAUGCCAUGGUGACAUCAUAGAAAGAAGAAAGUGGGGCAAGUGGGUAAAUAGUUUGGAUCAUGGGUCCAUUAAGGAUAAAUAGUUUAGGUUGGAUCCAAUUUGGAUAAAUAGUUACAAAAUUUGGCCGAUUUUAUGUAGUUUUCCCCUAUAUUCAUGGUAUAAUGACUAGCUCAUAGUCAUUAGCUUUUUAUGGAUGCAUUUUAGUGAAUGGUCUUUUUUUCUUAUUUCUCAUUUAGUGUUCGAUAUUUUUAUUGAGAUUCAAUAUUUUUAUUGGGAUUCGAUAAAACUUGAAUUCGCGUGUGUUGCAUGAAAAUAACGCUUCCAAUAAAAAAAAAUGAUUUCCAAAAAAUUAAAUUUGAUCCCUCUGAUUAAGGAUAAUUCUGAAUUAUCCUACCACAAUUUACGUUAAUUAAUUAAUCAACUUGCUAGUCCAUCUAUUAGUCAGAAAAUAUCAGAAGCCGUGCAUUCAAGUCUUAGCUUUGAAUAUCCAGAAAAAGUCUAAUUUUGCGAACUAUCGCUAUGAAAAUUGUGCAUAGGGUAGCCAAAUUAAGCUCAUAAAAAUAGGACUCGUCCUACCCUAUUUAAAAUUUGGAAUAAUCAUGGCUUUCAGGUCAGCUUGCACACAUAUCUCGUAACUUUUUUCAUCAAAACUAGAACAAAUGAAAAGAAAUUACUUAAUGUUUUGUCUUUGCUAGAAUUUGAACCAGAAACCUCAUGGUGCUCGAUCAGCUCACUUCAUAUCCGACUUUUUUUCAAGUAAAACUUGAGUCGAACUAUAAACCAUUGUUUAAUCUUAUCUUGAACCAGAGACCUCAUGGUGCUCGAUCAACCCACUCCAUAUCCGUCCAUUUGUCACGUUUGCAACUAUACUAGCCAAAAAUUACAUCUCACAGUAUCUUUUCUUCCUAUAUAUAUUCAUCCAUUUGGACAGUUUUCUUCACCCAUCAACACUUUCUUACACAUAUAACCUUUUCAAUCAUUACAAAAUAGCCACAAUGUCCAAUCUAGCCUUUCUUUCUCUAAUUUUAACCAUUUUCAUCUCUACUUCUAACGCCAUUUCCCAAUGUAACGGCCCUUGUAAAACUUGGGACGAUUGUGAUGGUCAAUUAAUCUGUAUAAACGGAAAAUGUAACGAUGAUCCUAACGUUGGAACCAAAGUUUGCAAAAGUAACCCUCCUUCCGUUCCAUCUCCAACUCCAACCAAUACAUGUCGUCCGUCUGGCACAAUCAAUUGCAACGGUGUGCACCCAAUAUACCGUUGCUCGCCACCUGUCACCUCCUCAACGCCCGCUCAACUGACCCUCAACGAUUUCAGUGAAGGCGGAGAUGGUGGUGGUCCAUCAUCAUGUGAUGGGAAAUAUCAUAAUAAUAAUGAAAGAGUAGUAGCAUUGUCCACUGGAUGGUUCGCGGGACGUUCAAGGUGUGGUAAAAUGAUACUAAUUCGCGCUAAUAACGGAAAGACCGUAACGGCUAAAGUGGUGGAUGAGUGUGAUUCUACUAUGGGUUGUGAUGCGGAACAUGCUUUUCAAAGUCCAUGCAAAAACAACAUAGUGGAUGGUUCUAUUGCUGUGUGGAGAGCUUUAGGGUUAAAUACAGAUUUAGGUAUUGUUCCCGUCACUUGGUCCAUGGUUUAGGCCAACGUGGAGCGAUCGUUACAGUUAUGGAUUCGAUAGAAUUCAAUAACUUUAUAUGUCUCAAAUUAUAUAAUUCUUGAAUAAGCGUGUCAUCUUACAUGUAAUAAGAUGUACAUUAGAGUUUCUUAAAAAUAAUCAACUACGAUAUAAUUUCUUACUAAUAAUGUUCUCCUUUCGUCUCAAUUUAUUUUGUGAUGUUUACCUCUUUGUAUACUUCUAAAUAUCAAGAUUUAGUUUUGAAUUUGGGAUAUGCAAACAUGUAUUGAGAGGAUUAAGAAAAAGAGGGAGAUGGUGGAGGUGUUUGAAGAUCGUGAGGGUAAGAGAUAGAGACGGAUUGGGGGAGGGAAAGACAUAGGUGAGAGAAAAUAAUUUAAAUUGCUAAUUUACCAUUAAUUAAGGAAUUUAAAUUUUAAGAUAAUUAUUUAAUAUCAUAUUUAAGAGAUAUGUGUAUCUGAUUAAAUAUUUUAAAAUAUAUGGUAUAAAUAUUAAAAGUGAUAUUAUGUUAAUUUUUUAAAAGUAUAGGUAAAUUAAGUAUAUCUUUCUUUUUUAUUAUAAAUUUCAAAAGUCUUUAUGUCUAGCACCAAUUAUAGAAAGUCUGAAAAUUGCAAAAAUGCAAAAAAGGAGGACGGAGUGCAAGGUCAUAUUGCACUAUCAAAAAAUGGUAUAAUACUGAAAUGUGUUCUUUAACUUGAUAUCAACUGACAUCUAUACAUUUUAAUUUUGAAUGUGCAAGGUACAUAAAUUUGUAUAGAAUUGAACAAUUACACACAUAUGUCUUACGCAGUGUUUUAAAAGGCGAGAGCAUGAAACGGGGCAUUUUACUUAGUGUAGGGGGAGGCGUAAGCCUUGAGACGUGGGGCGUAAUCCCUAUGAAUCUUUAAAUUUUUAAUUUAGGGGAAAUACAUAAUUACCCCAUUCAACUAUAACACUUUUUUUUUAAAAACACUCAAACUUUAUAAGGGUCCUAGUACCCCACUAAAUAAUUUAAAAGUGAUAUAAAUAUCUCAUUUUUCAAUUAAUCCCACUUAUAAAAAAGAAGGUGUAAGCACGCACUAAUUAUAGUUUGCUAUCUGUCAAUUUUAUAUAAUUUCCUAAUCUUUGUUUUUAUUUAUGUUUUUUUUUUAGUUUAAUUCUUUAUUUUUUCUUUCUUCGCUUAACCCAUCCGUUGGUCUUCUUCGUUGUGGAGUGGCCGCCAUUGCUACAACACCAUUUACAACAUUAAAUCAAAAUUAAAAUUGGAAAAUCAAAUCCGCUUUCAAAAUUUAUUGUUUUCAAAUUAAAAUUUCUAUCAAAGUCUUUUUUUUAUGUGUUUUGCCUUUGAUUUUUGCUCUAAAUCAACUUGGGUUGUAUUUGAAAAAAACAUUGAAAUAACGCCGACGAUUCUAUCUUCGAAGUUGCCAUCAUCUUUCCGGAGAUUCUCACCCUAGACAGUCAAGAAGGAGAAGAAGAAAUAUGAGGAUGAAACAACAAAAAUGUUGUUGCUUCCAUUAUCAAUGGGAUUUUUUUGUCAGUGAAAAGGCAUUUUAUUUUAUGUACUGAGAUUGUGUUAUUUAGUUACAAUUAAAUCUCUCCGUCGAAAUCCAAUCUAAAUGAAAAACGAAAAGAGAGCAAAAAAAGAAGAAAAAAAAAAACUUCAAGCUCCUUCAAUGGUGAAGCUCAGGAAGGAGUAAAAUAAAGAUUAUUUAUAUAGUUAAUAAAAAAUAUUGCAAAAGAAAAGUUUAAUCUUACUUUUUUUGGUUUCCAUGCUCUUCAGGCGAGUGAUAUACACUCUCUCUAUAAAAUAUCGAAAAAUGGUUCAAUAAUUUCACAUUAAUCUAGUUAAGUGGUGUAUUAGGACCCCCACAAAGUUUAAGUGUCUUUUUCAAAAAUACAUCUUACUUUAAUGGGGUAAUUAUGUAUUUAUAAUAACUCAAAAUUAUAAAAAUACAUCAAUAGUUUGAAAUAAUUACAAACAUGAAACUCAUAGAAAAUAAAACUUCUAACAUGAUUAUACAAGUAUAAAUAAUCUAACAUCUUAACUUUCUAAUAAUAAAAGAAUCAUUAUUUCUAAAAAAUUAUUUCUAUCAUACUAUACAAUUUACUCCCUAAAAGAAAAUAAACAAUAAAACUUACUAGUAUUAUAAUAAAAACUUCACUCCAUCAUGAAUAUAAAUAAAAUUACUUUCAAAUAGCUAAAUAAAAUAUGAUAAUUUGGAGACAUAAGACAAAAUCAUGGAGACCAAUCAUAAGUGAAAAAAUAAAAAAUUUCUACGUAUUUUAAAAGAAAUAUUGCGUAAUAUAUAAUCACCUUCACAGUGUUACGAAAUAGUAAAGAUACGAUACUACAACUUGUUAUUUGAGUUACUUUCAAUCUUCUUAUCUCUAUAGAUUAAAAAAUUACUAAGUUUCAUUCAUUUAUUAAAGAAUUAUGAGUGUCAACAAUGUUAACUAGAGAUUUUAAUACAUAAUUUGUGCAAGAUCUGUUAGGCAAUUCCCUAACGUUGGGCGUUAGGCAUGCUUAGGGAGUACAGUCGGGCGCUUGGGGCGUAAGUCUUAUAAAACUAAGCCUCACACUUGAGUCUCGGGGGGUUUUGCUAGAGCCCCGCCCCAGGACGAGCUCCGAGGCAAGUCCCAACAUAGUCUUUUAAAACACUGGUCCUACGUGACGUCUUACAUAUAUUAUACCAUAUAAGACGCAUGUAUUACGCCACGCAAAAAAUAUAUGCAGUAUACACUUAUUUUCUAGUUGUAUUACAAUGAAUAUGCACUAGUAACUAUUUCAAAUUGAUACAUCUAAAUUACUAUAUAGCUGGAUAUUUUUGACAGAUUGAAACUCAUAAGAAAAACACGAUAAAUGAUUUGAGACGAAGAGAUCAGUAUUCUCUCCUAAAUAGGACUCCCAUACCCUUUCUCCAAGAAUAAAGAUUAACCAGAUAUAAAAUAUUUAUAUUUAUAUUUAUCUUAUCGUAAAAGUAAAACCAAUUAUAAUAAAUAUGUUAUCGUUUCUUCCAAAAAAAAUAAAACACCCAAUUAUGAUUUUAGAAAUUAGGACAAACACCCAAUAAUAUGUGAGUUUCUUAACAAAUCAAUUAUAUUCAAAUCAAACUAUGAAAAUUGACAAUUAAAUUUGCAAGACAUGGAUUGUUUUCAAACGUAUUUGAAAACGGAGAUAUUAAUUGUCCUUACUUGUUCCUAGGUUUGUUUUUUUAUCGCCUUGUUUCAUUCACUUAUUUAUGUAAUAUAUUUACCUUUUUAUAUUUUGGUGGAAAAGAUCUAGAAAUAUAUUUAUCUAUUGAGUCAAAAAUGAAUAUAUUAAUUUAAUAGCAGCCAUUACGUAGGAACUAAAGAGUACUAGGAAUAGCAUAUUGUUAGUGAAGUAAUUAAUCGAUUGUACAAAAGUUGUUAGUAUUUGACUAAAUUAGAAUUUAUGUGUUAUAGAGUUUAUUUCUGAAAAUAACGCUUCUAACAAAAAAAAUCAUUUCCAAAAAAUUGGUUUCGACCCCUCUAAUUAAAGGUAAUUUUGGACCAUCCUACCGUAAUUCAGAUUGAUUAAUUAAUCGAUCAACUUGCUAGUCCAUCUAUAAUUCCUAAUAAUGUCAGAACCCAUGCAUCCAUGCAAGUCCUUGCAUUAAAUAGCCAAAGAAAGUCUAAUUUUGCUUAUACAAAAUUUGGAAGGAUUUUUAUAUGUAGAUAGAAUCGUGGUAUUCGGAUCGACUUAUGUGCAUCUCGACUAAAUUUUACGGAAUAUAUGUCAUUUCUCAUCAACAACACAUACCAGAUAACUUUUUCCACCAAAGUUAAAACAAAUAUAAAGAAAUUACUCAACAUUUUGCCUAUAUUAGAAUUUAAACCUGAAAUAUCAUGAUGCUCGAUUAACCCACUUCAUUGAAGAAUUUUCUUUUUACAAAAGUAAAAGAACAAGUCAUACUAUUAUUCAUUAUUUAACUUAUCCCGAUUCAAUUCAUUUCAACUUGAAAAUUUUAAUUUUGUAUUAACAAAUAACAUAUUCAAAUUCAAGUCAAUCCGUCCAAAUUGACACGUAGAUAUCUACUAGCCGAAAAUCACGACUCAUCACAAUAUCAUUUCUCCCUAUAUAUAUUCAUCCAUUUAGACACUUUUCUUCACCCAUCAACACUUCCUUACACAUAAAACCUUUUCAAUCAUUACAAAAAUAGCCACAAUGUCCAAUCUAGCCUUUCUUUCACUAAUUUUCACCAUUUUCAUAUCCACUUCUAACGCCAUUUCUCAAUGUAACGGCCCUUGUAAAACAUGGGACGAUUGUGAUGGUCAAUUAAUUUGCAUAACGGAAAAUGUAACGAUGAUCCUAAACGUUGGAACCAAAAUUUGCAAAAGUAGCCCUCCUUCCGUCCCAUCUCCAACUCCAACCAAUACAUGUCGUCCGUCUGGCACAAUCAAUUGCAACGGUGUACACCCAAUAUACCGUUGCUCGCCACCUGUCACCUCCUCAACGCCCGCUCAACUUACCUUCAACGACUUCGGUGAAGGCGGAGACGGAGGUGGUCCAUCAUCAUGUGAUGGGAAAUAUCAUAACAAUAACGAAAGAAUAGUAGCAUUGUCCACCGGAUGGUUUGCAGGACG
rnacentral:lncRNA from 1 species